CUCCUUCACCCAAAUGAAGUUCUAUCAAUCGAACAUCAAAGACAAGAUCACCAAGAAGUUCAUCCUCUGAUUUUCUUGUUAGGUGUGCCUCGUUUUUCUUUUGUUUUUCAGCUUUUGUUAUGUGGCAUUCCAGAAUCCAGAGGUGUAGGUAUCAUCAUCUACUCAAAUCUCUUGAAGAAUAUCUGGUGAAGCUUUUGGUCGUGUUUCUGAUUGUGGAAUUUGGACAAGAGAAUCAUCAUUAUCAUUAUCUCACGAGAGACACAGACCACCCUCCCACUGUUCAACCCUCCUGUCCUGUUCUACAACCGUCUUCUUGUCCUGUUUCUUGGGUUCUUUCUGAACUUGUUUGAUCAAACUAUAUCUUAUUUGUCUAUAACUUCUGUGCUCUACAUGUAUUCAUAACUGAUAUACAUAGCCAUAUAUAGCUUAUUUUACACAUAGGAUAAUUACAUGCAUUGCUUCUGCUGGAAUGAAUUUCUCUCUAUUUUUCAUGUUUUGAUUUACUCUACACAAAUUAACUCUCAAUUUUCACUUUCACUUAAUAGAAAACCUUCUUUUUAAUUAAAAUAAAAAAUUAAACAGCGUUCUAAUAAUUGAUCUGAAAUCCCCUUUGUUUAUAAUAGGAAAACCCUGUGUUUGUAUUCAAAUCUAGCUUAAAAAUCAAAUUAUUUCUGUAAUUUAUUCUGAAUUCUAUGUGUUUAUUUCGUUACUCGGGAUUCUUUUGCGUUAAACAUUAUAUAUUCUAAGGAGAACGAGACCACUUUUUAUUGAGUUUGUAGAAUAUUUUAUUCUGAUUGACAUUAGCUUGCUAAAUGCUAAGUCCUUGUGUAACUGUUUGUUUGUUCUUGUGCUAUUAGUAUCCUUCAUGGCUCCAUCUCUUCCUUUCUCUCUCUUAUAAAAAUAUCUGACCAAACCAAAGUACCAAAUAUUUAUUGAGGAAUUAAAACAAAAAGUAUUUUUUUGGUCUUCUAGUCGGGUGAACAGGAAUUUGUUACAGCCUUGCAUGAAAAAAAGAAGUUUUUUUAUUUUUAGCUUAAGAAAAAAUUAAGCUGAUAAAUUUUAGGAUUUUUAACAAACAUAUGUUGGUUUAUCAGGUGAAGAAGCUCCUGAUGGAAACAACUUUGGGCUUUUUCAGUUUUGUGAAUUUUUAUUUAAUUAAACCGGGUUAUCUUUUAACAUCUAGAGCACUUGGAUAUGCCCGGUGGUUUUGUUCUCGACAAAGUGAAUUUGCAGCCCCAAAACAUUUUUGAAAAAUUAGAAGCUCCAAUUGUCCCAGCUUGUUGGAAAAAUCUAGUUUACCUAAAUGAUUAAAUGCUUGUUUGGGAAUAUAGUUUGUUUUGUUUUGUAGGAAGUAAUCACUUAUUUUUCAAUUUUUUUUUAAAUUGGCAAAAAUAAGAGAUUAUUUCUUUAAAAUAAAUUGAAUCAAUGCAGGCUAAUUUCUAGAUUUUUAUACUGUUUUGUGUAGUAUAAAUGCAUGUGCAGGCUUGACAAAAUGUAUGCUUCGACUUAUAGCCCGUUUACAUUGGUUCUGUUUCUCUGUACCUUACUACUCAAACCCUGGUCACCUUUGUUGGGCCAUUGGGACAUCAUUCUAGUAAACCGAUCAAGUAUUUUGAGGUUAGAUGCAACUUAAGUCCAAUAUUAUUUCAAGUAGACAGCCAUGAUUUUUGUUUGCAUUUGCUUUUUUUGUCAUUCUUUUCCAUUGGCCUGAGCAUUGAAGGGGUUACUAAAAUCAAAGAUGGCUACAACCCAACUACUUGGAUGUUGGAAGUCUUGAUUUUCACGACAUAUACAAAAAUUCUGAGCCGUAUAGAGAAAACUGAAUCUGAUCCUGUUCUUGCUGCAAUUCAGACUGUGUGGAGUAUAUCUUUACUAUCAAAUUUGGAAUGCUUCAAUUGGUAUGCAAUGGAACCAAGAUCUUAGCUGGAAUCAAAUCACUAGACCCAUAUCAUCAAAUAAAGUGGCAGACGACAAUAUGACAACUUUUUGAAGGUUGGUAAGAAUGAUGAUUGCAUCCCCCAUAACAGAAGGUGGAAUUUUAAUAAGAAGUUGUGAUACUAGUUACAUAUCAAGGGAGCUGAUCAGAUGUGGAAUGAGCAAGGGCAUUAACAUCGAACGACCAUAUACUUUGAUAGAGGAGGAACCACAGUUGAGAAAAUCUAACCCUGUUGCAUGGGUUGAAAGAAUGUUUGACCUGCUUGCAUCAAAACUGAAUAGAGAACCAAAGUUGAUUCUUUGUGUCUUGCCAUAGAGUAAAAUUUGUGAUACAUAUGGGCCUUGGAAAAAGAAGUGUCUGAGUGAAAUUGGUGUUAUCACUUAGUACAUUUGCCCCUGUCAAGAUCACUGAUCAAUACCUUACCAAUGUACUUCUUAAAAUCAAUUCUAAGGUAACUGAGUACUGUGUAACUGUGACAUUUUUACAAACAUAGCUAUGUUUGACUUGAUAACAUCAUGUAUAGUUUAAAUAAUUUUUUAUGCCUGCCAUAUAUGGCUUGGAGGAAUGAAUUCUUUGUUGGCAAUAAAGCAUUAUGGGCAUCUUCCCUUGAUUAAAGAUACCUCAACGAUGAUUUUGGGGAUGGAUGUCUCACUAUUCACUUGGUUGAUUAGAUAAGUCCAUCAAUAGCAACUGUUGUUGGAUCUCAACAUAGGCCACUGAUUUCAAGGUAUAGAACGUCUCCGAGAAUGCAAACAUCCUCUAUACAAGCCAUUGGAAAAUGGGAGUGAUGAUAGUAUUAUCAGGUCCACAGAUGACGUGGUUGACAACCUGGCCUUAGAGGACACGUGUUAAUCCUCCCCGUCAGCCUUAAUACAAGAGCUCGAACGAUACUCAUUGGUUUGCACACACAUGUGGAGGUGCAAUGAUGGUGUGGCGGCAGUACGGUGGCUGGGCAAGGGGGGGUCGCUCAUGCAGAACUGGAGUUUGGAGCGACAAAGAUGGGCAACACUGAUUCGAAUCUAAGGCAGAGAUGGGUUGGGUGGGGGUGAGAAGAAGGGAGGGAGAACCGAUAGGGGUAAGAGGAUCUUUUUCUCUAGUUUGUGGGGGCCAAUAGUAGUUCCCCUCUAGGAAUCUAAUAUACCCAAACCGAUGGGCCCAAUCAUUCAACCCACGUUUUUUUUUCAUUAACUAACUUUCUCCUUUUCCAAAAACAUGACUCUUGCUUAACACGAUGGCACAUAACACGACAAUAUAUUACAAAUACACUUGCCAAUUCCAUACGUCA